rnacentral:rRNA from 1 species
GAUGAACGCUGGCGGCGUGCCUAAUACAGGCAAGUCGAGCGAACGGACGAGAAGCUUGCUUCUCUGAUGUUAGCGGCGGACGGGGGAGUAACACGUGGAUAACCUACCUAUAAGACUGGGAUAACUUCGGGAAACCGGUGCUAAUACCGCAUGAUAUUUUGAACCGCAUGGUUCAAAAGGGAAAGACGGUCUUGCUGGCACGUAUAGAGGGAUCCGCGCUGCAUUAGCUAGUUGGUAAGGUAACGGCUUACCAAGGCAACGAUGCAUAACCGACCUGAGAGGGUGAUCGGCCACACUGGAACUGAGACACGGUCCAGACUCCUACGGGAGGCAGCAGUAGGGAAUCUUCCGCAAUGGGCGAAAGCCUGACGGAGCAACGCCGCGUGAGUGAUGAAGGUCUUCGGAUCGUAAAACUCUGUUAUUAGGGAAGAACAUAUGUGGAAGUAACUGUGCACAUCUUGACGGUACCUAAUCAGAAAGCCACGGCUAACCACGGG